rnacentral:rRNA from 1 species
CGAACGCUGGCGGCGUGCCUAAUACAUGCAAGUCGAGCGCAUCGAUGGGAGCUUGCUCCCUGAAGUGAGCGGCGGAUGGGUGAGUAACACGUGGGUAACCUGCCUGUCAGAUCGGGAUAACUGUGGGAAACCGCAGCUAAUACCGGAUAAUCCUUCGCACCGCAUGGUGCGGAGUUGAAAGAUGGUUUCGGCCAUCACUGACAGAUGGGCCCGCGGUGCAUUAGUUAGUUGGCGGGGUAACGGCCCACCAAGACAGCGAUGCAUAGCCGACCUGAGAGGGUGAUCGGCCACAUUGGGACUGAGACACGGCCCAAACUCCUACGGGAGGCAGCAGUAGGGAAUCUUCCACAAUGGACGAAAGUCUGAUGGAGCAACGCCGCGUGAGCGAAGAAGGUUUUCGGAUCGUAAAGCUCUGUUGCUGGAGAAGAACGAGUGCGAGAGGAAAUGCUCGUAUGUGACGGUAUCCAGCCAGAAAGCCACGGCUAACUACGUGCCAGCAGCCGCGGUAAUACGUAGGUGGCAAGCGUUGUCCGGAAUUAUUGGGCGUAAAGCGCGCGCAGGCGGCUUCUUAAGUCUGAUGUGAAAUCUUGCGGCUCAACCGCAAACGGUCAUUGGAAACUGGGAAGCUUGAGUGCAGAAGAGGAGAGUAGAAUUCCACGUGUAGCGGUGAAAUGCGUAGAUAUGUGGAGGAAUACCAGUGGCGAAGGCGGCUCUCUGGUCUGUAACUGACGCUGAGGCGCGAAAGCGUGGGGAGCAAACAGGAUUAGAUACCCUGGUAGUCCACGCCGUAAACGAUGAAUGCUAGGUGUUAGGGGGUCCAACCCUUAUGCUGAAUUAACACAUUAGCAUUCCGCCUGGGGAGUACGACCGCAAGGUUGAAACUCAAGGAAUUGACGGGGGCCCGCACAAGCAUGAGCAUGUGGUUUAAUUCAAGCAACGCGAGAAACUUACCAGUCUUGACAUCCUCUGACAAGCCUAGAGAUAGGCCGUUCCCCUUCGGGGGACACAGUGACACGUGGUGCAUGGGUGUCGUCACUCGUGUCUGAGAUUUGUUAAGUCCCGCAACGAGCGCAACCCUUGAUCUUAGUUGCAGCAUUCAUUGGGCACUCUAAGGUGACUGCCGGUGACAAACCGGAGGAAGGUGGGGAUGACGUCAAAUCAUCAUGCCCCUUAUGAUCUGGGCUACACACGUGCUACAAUGGGUGGUACAAAGGGCAGCGAAACCGCGAGGUCGAGCUAAUCCCAUAAAGCCACCCCCAGUUCGGAUUGCAGGCUGCAACUCGCCUGCAUGAAGCCGGAAUUGCUAGUAAUCGCGGAUCAGCAUGCCGCGGUGAAUCCGUUCCCGGGCCUUGUACACACCGCCCGUCACACCACGAGAGUUUGUAACACCCGAAGUCGGUGC